UAAUACAUAGGGUGCAAGCGUUGUCCGGAAUUAUUGGGCGUAAAGAGCUCGUAGGUGGUCGAUCACGUCGGAUGUGAAAAUCUGGGGCUUAACCCCCAGACCUGCAUUCGAUACGGGUUGACUAGAGUGUGGUAGGGGAAACUGGAAUUCCUGGUGUAGCGGUGGAAUGCGCAGAUAUCAGGAGGAACACCGAUGGCGAAGGCAGGUUUCUGGGCCAUAACUGACACUGAGGAGCGAAAGCAUGGGGAGCGAACAGGAUUAGAUACCCUGGUAGUCCAUGCCGUAAACGGUGGGCGCUAGUUGUGCGAACCUUCCACGGUUUGUGCGACGCAGCUAACGCAUUAAGCGCCCCGCCUGGGGAGUACGAUCGCAAGAUUAAAACUCAAAGGAAUUGACGGGGCCCCGCACAAGCAGCGGAGCAUGCGGCUUAACUUUA
rnacentral:rRNA from 1 species